rnacentral:rRNA from 1 species
AUUGAACGCUGGCGGCAGGCCUAACACAUGCAAGUCGAACGAGUGGCGGACGGGUGAGUAAUGUCUGGGAAACUGCCCGAUGGAGGGGGAUAAUUACUGGAAACGGUAGUUAAUACCGCAUACCAUCGGAUGUGCCCAGAUGGGAUUAGCUAGUGGGUGGGGUAAUGGCUCACCUAGGCGACGAUCCCUAGCUGGUCUGAGAGGAUGACCGGGCACACUGGAACUGAGACACGGUCCAGACUCCUACGGGAGGCAGCAGUGGGGAAUAUUGCACAAUGGGCGCAAGCCUGAUGCAGCCAGGCCGCGUGUGUGAGGAAGGCCUUCGGGUUGUAAAGCUCUUUCAGCGGGGAGGCGUUACCCACAGAGGAAGCACCGGCUAACUCCGUGCCAGCAACCGCGGUAAUUC